UACGUAGGGUGCAAGCGUUGUCCGGAAUUAUUGGGCGUAAGGAGCUCGUAGGCGGUCUGUUGCGUCAGGAGUGAAAACUCGGGGCUUAACCCCGAGCCUGCUUCUGAUACGGGCAGACUAGAGGUAUGCAGGGGAGAACGGAAUUCCUGGUGUAGCGGUGAAAUGCGCAGAUAUCAGGAGGAACACCGGUGGCGAAGGCGGUUCUCUGGGCAUUACCUGACGCUGAGGAGCGAAAGCUAGGGGAGCGAACAGG
rnacentral:rRNA from 1 species